GUUUGUUCCAAUAGCCUACAUGUCCGCCAUCUUCCAGCGAGACGUAAAUCUUUCUCUCUUAACAAUCAUCCUACCUCACAAUGUAAAGUGAAAAUGAAAGUUAGGAGAAUAAGGCAAGAAACUUCACCUUUGGGUAUUAAAUUGACUGGAAAAAGGCUGGACUGUUCAUAAAGUUAAGAAAAUUAACAGGAACAGAAAGAGAAGACCCAUCUUAGAGCGA